rnacentral:lncRNA from 1 species
UUUUCUCAAAGACUAAACAAUUCAUCCAUUUCAAACCUUUAAUUUAAAUCAUUUCUACCCUUUUCAAAUUUCUCAAACCAUUGUAUUAAAUCAUUUUGUAAUCGUUAAUCAAAUGCUUAAUCCAAUGUCAAUCCAUUUUCACAAUAAAAAUAAGAAACACUUAAUGCUUAUCAAACACUUUUCAAUAAAGAUGGAACCAGAACAUGGUGG